CCUAGUUUGACAAGUAAGUCCU
rnacentral:misc_RNA from 1 species